rnacentral:ncRNA from 2 species
AAGAACAAGCUGGGGUGCCUGCGGGCUGAGAAAUACCCAUGAACCUGAUCUGGAUAAUGCCAGCGGAGGGAGCUUUUUAUUAAAAACC